GACGAACGCUGGCGGCGUGCUUAACACAUGCAAGUCGAACGGUGAAGCGCCUUCCUUUUUGGUGGGUGUGGAUGAGUGGCGAACGGGUGAGUAACACGUGAGUAACCUGCCCCCUUCUUCUGGAUAACCGCAUGAAAGUGUGGCUAAUACGGGAUAUUCUGGGUCUGUCGCAUGAUGGGUCUGGGAAAGAUAUUGUUUCGGUGGGGGAUGGGCUCGCGGCCUAUCAGCUUGUUGGUGGGGUGAUGGCCUACCAAGGCGGUAACGGGUAGCCGGCCUGAGAGGGUGGACGGUCACACUGGGACUGAGACACGGCCCAGACUCCUACGGGAGGCAGCAGUGGGGAAUAUUGCACAAUGGGCGCAAGCCUGAUGCAGCGACGCCGCGUGAGGGAUGGAGGCCUUCGGGUUGUGAACCUCUUUCGCCAGUGAAGCAGGCCUGCCUCGUUUGUGGGUGGGUUGACGGUAGCUGGAUAAGAAGCGCCGGCUAACUACGUG
rnacentral:rRNA from 1 species